rnacentral:rRNA from 1 species
GAUGAACGCUAGCGACAGGCUUAACACAUGCAAGUCGAGGGGCAGCGAGGGCGUAGCAAUACGCCUGUCGGCGACCGGCGCACUGGUGAGUAACACGUAUGCGACCUGCCCCCUACAGGGGUAUAACCCGUAGAAAUGCGGACUAAUCCCCCAUAGUCCCGUUGGCUGCAUGGCCAUCGGGGAAAGGUUUCCGGUAGGGGAUGGGCAUGCGGCGCAUUAGCUAGUUGGCGGGGCAACGGCCCACCAAGGCGACGAUGCGUAGGGGUUCUGAGAGGAAGGUCCCCCANACUGGUACUGAGACACGGACCAGACUCCUACGGGAGGCAGCAGUGAGGAAUAUUGGUCAAAUGGGCGCAGGCCUGAACCAGCCAAGUCGCGUGAGGGAA